GCCAAUAGGAUCGUUGGGACUCACCAGUAGCAGUGGGGCAAGGAGAGGGGGAAGGCCUAACGUAGCGGAGCGCCAGUCGGCCUUUAGUCGCCGUAGGGGUAACUUGGUAAGGUGAACCUUUGUCAGUUAGGUCAAUUUUUUUGUUUUUUUUCCAUUUUCCCUCCCCUCCUACUUCAUAGUAAAGUUUUUUAAUACCAGCUUCUAGUAUUUCUCUAAUUAAAUGAUAUUAGUGCAGUGUUAUAGUGAAUAGUGUUUUAGCGUAAUUUAACGAAACUAAGUUUUUAUAAAUAUUUUUCCGAUGUUUAAAGUAAAUGGGAUUUCGUGUUUUCAGUUCUCAGUGGUUGAUUGCGAAUAUAAUUUCGAUUCGUAAAAUUCAUCAUAUUUUUUCUACACGGAGAAAAAUGGAAAAACGAAUAAAGUAACUUUUACUACUUUAAAAGUAAAAUUGGACCUGUCCGAAGUUUCUGCGCAUCUCUGGCAACUUUUACUCGAAAAAUAGUAAAAUUGACUAUUUCUGUAGUAAAUUUUACUGUUUCCGUAGUAAUUUUUACUAUUUCUGAAGUAAAUUUUACUAUUUUUGGAGUAAAAGUUGCCAGAGAUGCGCAGAAACUUCGGACAGGUCCAAUUUUACUUUUAAAGUAGUAAAAGUUACUUUUUCUUUUUUUCCGUGUAGUAACGCGUUCCGUGAUAUAAAAUUAACAAAAGUUUAUCGGUCUUUAUUUUCAACGAUGUUCAUCAGUAAAAAUUGUUUGUUCUGUUUCAAGAAGUGAAUUUAAUAUAAAAAGUAAACAAUUAUUUUAUUAAUAGUUAUUCUAAAGUGCCGAUUUCCGUCUUUUAGUCUCUAAAAUCAGUGUUCGCGUUCUGUGGAAAGAAGUAAAAAGUAUUUUUUUUAAAAUACUCGAGUGUGUGUUUCUUGGAAAAGAAAGAAAGUCUUAGUUUCUUAAAUCAGUGCUUGCGUUUCGUAAAAAAAAGUGAUGUGUUUGUUAAAUUUGUGUGUGUUUAUGUUUCCUGGAUAAAAAAAGCGUUAGUUCCAGAGCAGCUCCUGGAGGAGUCGGGCAUUGCUGAGUCGCAGUCCAAUUAUUAUUUCCGACAAAUCUGAUACAACUGAAGGAGAGAAUCGGAAGGAGGAUGCUGAGAAAUGGGGUCCCAACUAUUGUUCUUGGUCAACGCAGAGAUACGCAGGAUCUGUCCCAGGAGAAGGCAUGCGGAGAUUAAUUGCAACGUGGGAGUCAGCGAUUGAACACGGAGCAUUUUAAUCAAAGGAAAAAGUUAAGAAGACUUAUAAAUUAAAAUUAAAAAAAAAAAAGUUUUUCUUAUUAAAUUUGAAUACAUUAUGAACAAUUACCCACCUAUUAAAAGAGCAAGAACUUUAC